CCUGCUUGUUCCCGUGGUGGCGUGGCAUUGUCCGUGAGUGCAGUCGUUUCUCUGGUGUGACAGCCCAGCGGUGGUAAUCGCUGUCAAGGUGCGCUGUCUGCAAUACGUGCUGUGGCUGACUGCGGCAGUUAAUCCCUGGUGGUGGUGCAUUCUUCAUGGUACCCCUUUUCCUUUGGUUUUGUGUGUACGAGUAUUUAUUUGCAGUGGCAUGGGUAAUUAAUUUGAGGACCCCUCUUCUCUUUUUGGUUAUCCUGCUUCAUGGUAAGCCCCAGCCCUGCUUUUAUUCCCUCCUGCCCAUUCUUUCCUUGAUUCAGUAUGUUUAACUGGUGUGGGACAUUAUUUUCUUUUUUUUUUUGUAACAUAAAUUUGUUAAGAAAAUUUGUUUAACCAAAAUAUGGUUUGUUUAACCACCCCUGUCGCAUGAAAUCUGUGCAGCCUUGAUGGUAAAUGACAGACAGAAACCUGAGUUAGGAUUUCCUGGGUGCAACUCCCAGGUGGCAUUGUCAUGACCGUAUUUGGGUUUUGUUGGGCAUAAAAGCCUCAAUCUCGCCACAUAAACAAGUCUCAAGUCCACAGGAAAUGUUACUUCUGGAGUGUCAAAAACGCCUCAUUUGAAUUUCAGACUUUUCGUCAUCACCAUGAAACACAUUUACAUAACACCUAAUUAUCAGGUAGCUUGGCCCUUAAACAAAAGAAUAAGCUGAAUGGCUUAGUUCAGCCUAAAAGACUGAAACAACAAGUCUGUCCAAAGAUACCAAAAUCCACCUACAAAGUUCCGCUAAAGCUCACUGGGUAACAUAUUACAUUUCAUUUGUCUAAUUCACACAGAAACUCAAGUGUUGUCCUCUUUACAACAAAGCAAGUAUUUCAUUAAAGGGUUCAUAUUCUGCUUUUUUGUGCAUGUACAUAUAGAGGAUGGGGAAAAGCCUCUAUUAAAAGUAGCAUAGAAACAGGGGCAGACUGACGUUCGGGGAUACUGGGCAUAUCCCCGGGGGGCCGAUGCGGCUGUGGGCCGGUUGGACCACGAGAAAAUAAAAAGUCUAGCGCGACACCGCCAACAGCGCGAUGGUCCGCUCCACAAGGAGGCUGAGCUGACAGCUGGACAGCUCCUGAUACCAUAGGCUGGUUUACCUGUGAUUGCUACUGAUAGCCAAUCACAUUUCAUCGCUGCGGUGGUUAAGUCCCACCCACUCUCUCACUCUGCAGCUGCUGUCACCUGUCAAUCACACAUAGACGAGACAGACAUCUAAUGGCGACUUUGGAUGGAUGCGAGUCGGUGCAAAAUAUGGAAAAAAAAAUCCCAAAAACGAAAAGGUGGCGCUGAGAAGCUGAGAAACAAAAAGAGAAAAUCCCUUCAAGACCAUGCAACAACGAGCAUGAAAAUAACUGAUUAAAUUGGCAGUCACUCGGGAGAAGUUUCUGGAAAGAGUCCAGAACUUUUCAUCCCAGGCACAAGCACAAGCACAGCAUUAGUGGGACGAGUGACGUGCAAGUAAGUUAUGUUUGGUACUUGUUUGGUACUUGUUGAUGCUUUGGUGAAAAUGUCAAUUUGGUUAAAGUGAGUAAAUUCAGCACAGUGUUAGCUAGCCUGUUAGCAGAGUGCUAGCUAGCCUUUGGAGUCCAAAAUAGCCACUAUUUACUUACCAGACAUUUCCUGUAGAUGUGAACCUGUCUGUACUGUUGCUAAUUAUGAUGGGAUGGGGUCUGUCACCUUUGUAGCCAUGUUGUCAUCUGGUUGAAAUUAACCUGUUAUUAUCAAUGAAUUGACUCUUAUUUAAUGACUAUAAAUUAAUGAAUUGUUUACUUGUCUGUACAAGUUCGCUAUCAGAAUAAUUCAGUAAUACCAUCCCAGAAUUUAUUUAAUUUUUUCUUUUUUAUGUAAAUGUAACCAGGUUGAAAUAAUAACAGUAUUUUCAUAUAUGAAAUUCCACCAACUUCCAGGGAUUCAUGUAAAUAAUUAUUUCAUGUUUUGUAUUGUUUAAAAUGUGUUUCAUUUUUUAUUAUUAUUAUUGUUGGAGUUAUUACCAUCUUUUUUAAGAGGUCGCAGUUUGAUGAGGUCACUAAUAUGCGCCGGAAGAAAACACAGGACGUCGGAGUAACGGAGCUGGAUGAAAAUGAACUUGCUGCUGGAACCGACACGAGAGGAAUGAAUUUUAUCUUCACGUGAGGGAAACCAGAACAGCGGUAUGGAUGCUUAAUUGAUGAACUAUUCCUGCACAUCGGAGAGACAGAACAUUGGAGAGACGUAGCGACGGUAUGGACAAUUAAUAAAGGACAUUUUUGUGUUGGAGAGACUGAGCGGCGUAUGGCACGUGAUUAGCCACCAUUAACUGCAUGUUGAAGAGAAGGUAAUAAACGUAUGUUAGCGA